AUGAAAACACUGUACAAUAGUAAUAAGACAAAAAUUAAUGACUGUGCAUGCAUGUAAAGCAUAAGGAUGUAAACUGUUGCAGAGACUAAAAGAAUUGUUGAUAUAAUUUGUUGGAAUGUUGAACAUGCAUGCUAGAUAUAUUGUGUUGGAUAGAAUUAAUUAAUGCUAACACAGCAGUCAAACAUACAUCCAAGGUUCCUACGGUAACUGUACUUGUUUGACAACCUUCCAACAUGAUCUACAACACCAGUGAAGUACCUAGCUACCCAAUACAAUCCACACACUAUACACCCAUGCACACACUAAAGGAUUGAGCUGAGGCACAAAGUAUCCACUCCUAAUCCUAAUAAUACUAAUCCACAACACUGUACUAUACUGUAUAGGCACUCAUAUAAAAGGGUUUAGCUGACAGACUCAUGUGAAAAACGCUGCAUAUACCUCCUUCCGAAACCAUAAGUUCGAGUUUCUACAAUCAUAAAGUUGUUUAUUGUUCAAACUAUUGCAGUCACAGUUUUCCUCUUGACGAAUCGUAUGGUCCCAGCCAAUAAUGGCCAGUCACUAGCUGAUCUCCUCCGCUCCUUAAUCCAAGACGAGGGGAGUGCUCAGUUGAUGCAGACGGCCAUUGUGGAAAGCAUUGAUGGCCAUGCACAAAGCUUCAGUCUAAACAUUGUUGGCUGUGACACCAUCAGCAGUACAGUUCGUAGCAAACUGAGCAGCUAUCUGGAGGAAGUCUUUCCCGGUAGAGGCAUCACCAUCUCAUGUGCAGCAGGUGUUGUCUCCGGAGGGGUGACGUACACGAGGUGGGGCCACAAUGCUUGUCCGAGUGUGCCUGGUACACAGAUGCUGUACACUGGGAGAAUGAGCGGAGUGUUUUAUAAUCAAAAAGGGGGUGGAGCCAACUAUCUCUGUCUUCCAAACAACCCCGAGUACAACACUCUCAACACGUAUUCCCCAAAUCUUUACUCCGAGAUUUAUGGCACAGAAUACACAGCUCCAAUUGCUGGUAGUCAAGAUCACAAUGUACCGUGUGCUGUUUGCCAUGCUACGACAAGAGCAGCUAAAGUGAUGAUUCCUGCCAAGACCAGCUGCCCUCCAAACUGGACAAGAGAGUACUACGGCUAUCUACAGAGUGAAACUAUUAGAAGCGACUGUCAACGCACUGAGUAUGUUUGUGUGGACAAAGAUCAAGUAUCUCUUUAUGGAUCACAUGCAGACAUCAAUGGAGCCAUACUUUAUCAUGUGAGAGCCACAUGCAUCGGGAUACAGUGCCCUCCAUACAAUGCAAACGACGUACUGACAUGUACCGUAUGUACCAAGUAAGCAUCCAACAAAUAUGAAAACACUGUAGUAUAGUUACAAACUAUAUAAUUAUAAGGAAUAAGGAUUGUUGAACACAUAUUAACGUAUAUAUAAUAUUAAUUUUGUGUAAGAUAGAAUUAAUAUGAUGUUGACUGCAAUACUGUAUGGUCUAGCUGGCAGUGAACUGAAUGACUAAACUAAAAUUGAGUCAAAAAUACUCUACACAACAAUGAUGUACAUCAUGUGAUGCUUAAUGACUAUAUACACCUGCCAUGCACACAUGCAGAGGGACACAAUCUCAAGAGUAGAAUACCAACACAUACGUGCAUGCAUGUACCUUCCUACAUUAAAUACAAGGUUCCUACAGUAACUGUGUUACCUGACAACCUUCCUACAUGAUCUACAACACCAGUGAAGUACUAAUAUUAAAUACACUACGCACAAAAUAAAGGGUUGAGCUGAGGCAAAAACAGGAUACCUUUAUAAUAAUUAUUAUACAGUCUAUUAUUAUACUAUACUAUAAUAAACAUUGUACAUACAAUAGGCACUCAUAUAAAAGGUUGAGCUGAGACACACAGACUCAGCGUGACAAAUAUUGCGUUUCAUCUCAUCAUUCUAAAACCAAAGGUUCAAGCUUCUAAAAUCAUGAAGUUCUUCAUAGUUCAAACUAUUGCUGUCACGGUUUUCCUCUUGACAAAUAGUAUGGUCCCAGCAAAUGGUGGCCAGUCGCUAGCUGACCUCCUCCGCUCCUUAAUACAAGACGAGGAGAGUGCUCAGUUGAUGCAGACAGCCAUCGUGAAAAGCAUCGAUAGCCGUGCACAAAGCUUCAGUCUAAACAUUGUUGGCUGUGACACCAUCAGCAGUACAGUUCGUAGUAAACUGAACAACUAUCUGGAGGAAGUGUUCCCCGGUAGAGGCAUCACCAUCUCAUGUGCAGCAGGUGUUCUCUCCGGAGGGGUGACGUACACGAGGUGGGGCCACAAUGCUUGCCCAAGUGUGCCUGGUACACAGAUGCUGUACAGUGGGAGAAUGAGCGGAGUAUUUUAUAAUAAAAAAGGAGGUGGAGCCAACUUUCUCUGUCUUCCAAAUGACCCCGAGUACAACACUCUCAACACAUACUCCCAAUAUUAUCACUCCCAGAUUUCCGGCACAGAAUAUGAAUUUCCAAUUGCUGGUAGCCAUGACCACAAUGUACCAUGUGCUGUUUGCCAUGCUACGACAAGGACAGCUAAAGUGAUGAUUCCUGCCAAGACCAGCUGCCCUCCAAGCUGGACUAGAGAGUACUACGGCUAUCUACAGAGUGAGGCUAAUCUCGGAGACCGUCAACCCUCUGAGUUUGUUUGUGUGGACAAAGCUCAAGUUUCUCUUUAUGGAUCACAUGCAAACAUCAAUGGAGCCGUAAUAUAUCAUGUGAGAGCAGCAUGCCACGGGAUACAAUGCCCUCCGUACAAUGCAAACGACGUAUUGACAUGUACCGUAUGUACCAAGUAAACAUCCAACAAUUAUAUACACUCUGUAAGUACUACAGUGUGAGUAAAAAAAUUAAAUGAUUAUAUAAUUAUGGAGACUAUAUAGGAUGUAUGUUGGAAGGUUAAUUGAACACAUGCUAGAGUAUUAGUGUAGGAUUAAUAAUGACGAUUGUACAUGUUGAAUACGAUAAUAUUAUAUAUUCACAGCUGUCAAACAAAAUGUAUGCGCAAUAGUACCAGUUACACUAUAUAUACAGUCACACAGUAUGACCAGUACACUAAGGCCAUAGCUACAUAGUACAGACUCACACAAUCUGAACAGUAAGAAUACCAAUAAGUAUACAUGACAUUGUACCUUCCUAUAUUAAUUAUUCAAUACAAGGUUCCUACGGUAUAACCGUACUUGCUUGACAACCUUCCUACAUGAUCUACAACACCAUGAAUAUUAAUACACUACCCACACAUUAAAGAGUUGAGCUGAGGCAAAACAGUAUAUUAUAUAUACCUAUAUAAUACUCCACUAAAUACAAUCCACAACACUGCAUGCAUGCACACAUAUAAAAGGGACCAACUGGUUUAGUGUGACAAAUUGCAUUCAUCUCAUUUUGUUCAAGCUUCUACAAUCAUGACGUUCUUCAUUGUUCAAACUAUUGCUGUCACGGUUUUCCUCUUGACGAAUCGUAUGGUCCCAGCCAAUGGUGGCCAGUCGCUAGCUGACCUCCUCCACUCCUUAAUCCAAGACGAGGGGAGUGCUCAGUUGAUGCAGACAGCCAUUGUGGAAAGCAUUGAUGGCCGUGCACAAAGCUUUAGUCUAAACAUUGUUGGCUGUGACACCAUCAGCAGUACAAUUCGUAGCAAACUGAGCAACUAUCUGAAGGAAGUCUUCCCCGGUAGAGGCAUAACUAUCUCAUGUGCACUAUAAUCAAAAAGGAGGGGGAGCCAACUAUCUCUGUCUUCCUACUAACCCUGAGUACAACACCCUCAACACAUACUCUCCACACUAUUACUCAAAAAUUUCCGGCACAGAAUACGAACAUCCGAUUGCUGGUAGCCACAACCAUAAUGUACGUACCAUGUGCUGUUUGCCAUGCUACAACAAGGACAGCUAAAAUGAUGAUUCCUGCCAAGACCAGCUGCCCUCCAAGCUGGACAAGAGAGUACUACGGCUAUCUACAGAGUGACGCCGUUUGGCCUGAUCGUCAACGCACUGAGUACGUUUGUGUGGACAAAGAUCAAGUAUCUCUUUAUGGAUCACAUGCAAAUAUUGAUGGAGCCACAUUAUAUCAUGUGAGAGCCACAUGUACCGGGAUACAGUGCCCUCCAUACAAUGCAAACGACGUACUGACAUGUACCGUAUGUACCAACUAAACAUCCAACAAGUAUG